rnacentral:rRNA from 1 species
CCUACGGGGGGCAGCAGUCGGGAAUAUUGCACAAUGGAGGGAACUCUGAUGCAGUGACGCCGCGUGCAGGAAGAAGGUUUUCGGAUUGUAAACUGCUUUAGAUAGGGAAGAAGAAAAGACAGUACCUAUAGAAUAAGCUCCGGCUAACUACGUGCCAGCAGCCGCGGUAAUACGUAGGGAGCGAGCGUUAUCCGGAAUUAUUGGGUGUAAAGGGUGCGUAGACGGGAACUUAAGUUAGUUGUGAAAUCCCUUAGCUCAACUAAGGAAUGGCAACUGAAACUGGGUUUCUUGAGUGCAGGAGAGGA